rnacentral:lncRNA from 1 species
UCCUUAAACCCUACAAAAUAAAAAAAAUUACAGAUCCAACCAAAGAAUUCGACCCAAACCCGAACAAAUAUUGGAUACCCACUUUUCUUUAGUUACCCUAAUUUGAAAAGUAAAAAUAGAUCUGUAAAAAAAAAAAAACAAACUCCGACGACUCUUCCGUCGAUUCUCCUUCUUCUCUCUUCGUCUUCGUCGCUUCGUCGUCGGAGAUAUAAGUCGUCUCUUCUCCUUCUUCUCUCUUCGUCUUCGUAACCUCGCCGUUUGUCUCUCCUUCGUCUUUGCUCUCUCCUUUCGUAUCUCUCUUUGUCGCCUCGCCGUCGGAGGUAGUCGCUCGUCCUAGCUCGUCGCUGGCCGCCGGAGCUCGUCCUCAUCUCCAACUCGUCGACAGUCUUCUUAUUGGUAAGUUC